rnacentral:snRNA from 1 species
GCGGGAUCCCUCGCGGGUG